rnacentral:rRNA from 1 species
CUAACGUCCGUCGUGAAGAGGGAAACAACCCAGACCGCCAGCUAAGGUCCCAAAGUCAUGGUUAAGUGGGAAACGAUGUGGGAAGGCCCAGACAGCCAGGAUGUUGGCUUAGAAGCAGCCAUCAUUUAAAGAAAGCGUAAUAGCUCACUGGUCGAGUCGGCCUGUGCGGAAGAUGUAACGGGGCUAAACCAUGCACCGAAGCUGCGGCAGCGACGCUUAUGCGUUGUUGGGUAGGGGAGCGUUCUGUAAGCCUGCGAAGGUGUGCUGUGAGGCAUGCUGGAGGUAUCAGAAGUGCGAAUGCUGACAUAAGUAACGAUAAAGCGGGUGAAAAGCCCGCUCGCCGGAAGACCAAGGGUUCCUGUCCAACGUUAAUCGGGGCAGGGUGA